CGGCGAAGUGAAGCGGCAAGAAGCUCAAAUUUGAAAUCUGGCCCCCUCGGGGUCCGUAGUUGUAAUUUGCAGAGGAUGCUUCGGGAGCGGUCCCCAUCUAAGUGCCCUGGAACGGGCCGUCAUAGAGGGUGAGAAUCCCGUCUGGGAUGGGCGGCCGCGCCCGUGUGAAGCUCCUUCGACGAGUCGAGUUGUUUGGGAAUGCAGCUCUAAGCGGGUGGUAAAUUUCAUCUAAAGCUAAAUACUGGCCGGAGACCGAUAGCGCACAAGUAGAGUGAUCGAAAGAUGAAAAGCACUUUGAAAAGAGAGUUAAACAGCACGUGAAAUUGUUGAAAGGGAAGCGUUGUCCACCAGACUCGCCCGGGGGGGUUCAGCCGGCACGUGUGCCGGUGUACUCCUCUCCGGGCGGGCCAGCAUCGGUUUGGGCGGCUGGUGAAAGGCCCCGGGAAUGUACCACCCUCCGGGGUGUCUUAUAGCCCGGGGUGCCAUACAGCCAGCCUGGACCGAGGCCCGCGCUUCGGCGAGGAUGCUGGCGUAAUGGUGGUCAACGGCCCGUCU
rnacentral:rRNA from 1 species